GGGAGUGGAUGAGUUCUGGUGUUCUCUCCGGUCUUCAAAACCGGCGUGAGGGGUUAGGAGCCUCUCAGGUGGGUUCGAUUCCCACACAUUCCCGCCA
rnacentral:tRNA from 3 species